rnacentral:lncRNA from 1 species
UCUAUAUGAUCCAACUGACUGGUUGAUCACAAGCCUAAACUCCUCCUGAAGUAUGAGGGAAAUAGCAAGAGUAAGUCCAUGUUGAACUCAACAAGUAUAGUAACUAGAUUGUAUAGAUCCCACAAUCUCAUGAUCAAUGUGACAUAAAUAAUGUAAAGCAUUAAACAAUAAACAAUGAGCAUAUUUAACACACAAGAAUCAUCACUCUUAAUGUAGAUGUCCCCAAGGCCGCUCCUGACCGUGAGCUCGGCUAGUAUACUAGUUUUAACACUCUGCAGAGGUUGCACAUCUUUACCCAUGAGUCAUGAUUUACCCUUUCGCCCGAGGUAGCUAAUCUCUUAACCCCCUUCCUAGGGAGGUCGGC